rnacentral:lncRNA from 1 species
GAUUAUUGGACACAUUUGUGCAGGACCUGGACUCAUCACAGAGGCGGUGACUAAGCCUGGCUUGGGCACAGUGUAAAGUGGGGCAGCUUGACAAAUCCUGGAGGCAGGACAUAGCUGAACAUUCUGACAUCUAUUAUGAGCAACAUGCCUGUCCCUGCAGGGUCAUGGGGACUGACUGACUAAGGUCCCCUGAGAGGACAUAUUGCGCUCUUCUUCCCACACCAGGAAAGACUGAGACGUAACAAUGCUUGUGGAAGUGAGAGAACAACUGCUAGACAAUUUCCGUGAAGAUUCAGCGAGAGGCUACUUAAAAUGAUGUAACUCAUGGGCGACAGUAGCUUCCGUUCCCUUUGCUUGACACACACCAAACUGCGUACACUGAAGGGAAUCAGAUGUACGACUCUGAGAAGAUCUCGAACCUGGAGAGCUGCACAGAACCUUGAUGACCUCCAAGCUCACAUCAGGAAGACUGGUUGUUGGUACCUGUCAAAGACAGACCUGGGAGACUUGAAGCAUCCUCUGGAAUCUUCUGUUAGGAGCAUGGCCCUGGGAUCCUGAAUAUGUGAGCAGAGCUCUCUAUCUACCCCACAUUGACUGUGUAAGUUAACACCCUUUUGACUCCUCUAAUUCCCAGUGGAUAGACAUUGCUUGGCUCUCUUAGAAAUACACCAUGAAAAUCACUAAGUAUUAGGGUAGAGGGUGAGCAAAGCCAGACCUCAGAAAAA